UGAGGACGAAAGGCUCCUUCAAAAGGCUGGCGAGGGGCCGGGCGCGGUGGCUCACACCUGUCAUCCCAGCACUUUCGGAGGCCGAGGUGAUUGGAACUGAUUUGACAUAACUAUCGCAUGCAUGGAGAAGCUGAGAACAGUAAUCUGCAGAAGCAAAAUAAUGAAACAGCUGGACAAAGACGCACAGAGGUGAGAGAGACAAAGAGAACAGCCUCUGGUUUCUGCUGAGCUUCCACUUCCUGGUUUUGUCCCCUCCCCCCCGUUCACCUUUACCUUUGAGAUACCGCCAUAAUCUUAUAAUAAAUGUUCAUUUUUAACUUAAGCUACUAGCCUUCUGAAACUUGGAAUUGAAAAGACUAUGGCUAUAGCCCUAGGAUCUAACAGAUGAAAAAUAUAUUAUGUCACCAGUAAAGUAGGUGGUAAAACAAACAUUUGUAUGAAUGCAGUAAAUUAGAAAGAGGUGGGACGUAUUGCCCGAGGCCACCAGUACUAAGAGCAGCAAUACACAAAUAGCCCAUAAAAAAGAAAUGUUUCUAUAAAAAGCAGAGCCAAGAACUCCAAAAAACUCAUCAGUCUGGGGCCAUUUAGUUUAGAGACCUCAAUGUGCCUUAGGGUGUCAUUUGGUUACAGUUAUGUAAGACUGACAUUUGUCACAAUGGCCUUGAGCUGCAAAAGGCCAGUCAGAAGAGACAGUGUCAUUUGUUCAGGAGAAUCUACCAUGAAAAAAUGUUUAAAUUAAAUGUUUAGGCAUUUAAAGAUGUAAGACUCGCUUAUCUGGCACAUAGACGUUGUGAAAUACGUCAUUGUAUAACAGAAUGACAGAUAUGUGUGGCACACAGUAUAAUUAUAUAUACUUCCAGAAACAGAACGUCUAAAUAAAGAACAAGUUGAUAGCA